UACAGAGGUCUCAAGCGUUGUUCGGAUUCAUUGGGCGUAAAGGGUGCGUAGGCGGCGCGGUAAGUCGGGUGUGAAAUCUCGGAGCUUAACUCCGAACUGCAUUCGAUACUGCCGUGCUUGAGGACUGGAGAGGAGACUGGAAUUUACGGUGAGCGGUGAAAUGCGUAGAUAUCGUAAGGAAGACCAGUGGCGAAGGCGGUCUC
rnacentral:rRNA from 1 species